rnacentral:rRNA from 1 species
AUUGAACGCUGGCGGCAUGCCUUACACAUGCAAGUCGAACGGCAGCACGGGAGCAAUCCUGGUGGCGAGUGGCGAACGGGUGAGUAAUAUAUCGGAACGUGCCCGGUCGUGGGGAUAACGUAGCGAAAGCUACGCUAAUACCGCAUACGAUCUACGGAUGAAAGCGGGGGAUCGCAAGACCUCGCGCGAUUGGAGCGGCCGAUAUCAGAUUAGGUAGUUGGUGAGGUAAAGGCUCACCAAGCCGACGAUCUGUAGCUGGUCUGAGAGGACGACCAGCCACACUGGGACUGAGACACGGCCCAGACUCCUACGGGAGGCAGCAGUGGGGAAUUUUGGACAAUGGGCGCAAGCCUGAUCCAGCAAUGCCGCGUGCAGGAUGAAGGCCUCGGUUGUAACGU